rnacentral:RNase_P_RNA from 1 species
GAAGCGCGCCAGACCGCCGCUGGUGCAAGUUGGGAAACCAAGCACUGGAGGAACGUCCGGACUGCACAGGACAGCGUAGCAGCUAACGGCUGCCCACCGUGAGGUGAGGAUUAGAGCAACAGAGACGAGCCGAUUAAGUUCGGGUGAAACGGGCAAUCUCUACGCGCAGCAAUACCAAGUAGGCCAACGUUGAUGUGGUUCCGCAGAGUUGGCGGGUAGGUAGCAU